rnacentral:rRNA from 1 species
UACGUAGGGUGCAAGCGUUAAUCGGAAUUACUGGGCGUAAAGCGUGCGCAGGCGGUUAUUUAAGUCAGGUGUGAAAUCCCAGGGCUUAACCUUGGAACUGCAUUUGUGACUGCAUAGCUAGAGUACGGUAGAGGGGGAUGGAAUUCCGCGUGUAGCAGUGAAAUGCGUAGAUAUGCGGAGGAACACCGAUGGCGAAGGCAAUCCCCUGGACCUGUACUGACGCUCAUGCACGAAAGCGUGGGGAGCAAACAGG